rnacentral:rRNA from 1 species
UACGGGGGGGGCAAGCGUUGUUCGGAAUUACUGGGCGUAAAGGGUUCGUAGGUGGCUUGCUUAGUCAGACGUGAAAUCCCUCAGCUUAACUGGGGGAACUGCGUCUGAUACUGGCGAGCUUGAGUGCAGGAGAGGAACGCGGAAUUCCAGGUGUAGCGGUGAAAUGCGUAGAUAUCUGGAGGAACACCGGUGGCGAAGGCGGCCCGCUGGGCAGGAAGACACCGCAAGGUGUCGGCUGACGCUGAGGCGCGACAGCGUGGGGAGCAAACAGG